UUUCCAUAUAUGAGUGGUACAAUGCUGAUUGGUGAAGAAUCUCUCUUUUCUCAUUGUUAAUUUUCAGGACAAAAUCAUCACAUGGAAUAGAGAAACAUCCAUACUGUUGCAACUCAGACUCAGACACUGUAUUGUGCGCACAAUCAUAUGCAAACAAAAACUCAUCUUCAUCAAAGACAUCUUAUAAUAUCAAAGAAAACAGCAUGAUGUUGGCUUAGUUUCCCCUCCAAGUCAGGUUUCAUGCAGCAAGAAUUGAGAACAAGAGGGAGAGAGGACUAGGAAGAAGGCAUGAUGAGAAGAGGUCAUCACCUUUCCUGUUCCCUUCAUGCUGAGCCAGCCAGGACGAGGUGGAAGAGAUAUAGUAUAUGAAGCAAGAGGGGAAAAGUCUAUAUCUUCCAUGGGGUGAAGCAAUCAAAUUGCCACACAAAGCUCACCACCUUUACAGCUCUCCAAGUUGAGGAGAGCUUGCACCUGCUCUGAGCAGAGAAUGAAGCACAGGAAUGGAGAGACUGUGCCACAAGACAGCUGCUCCGGGCUCUGGGAUGAUCAUCCAGGCCUGCCUCACUUGGUGAAGUAAUUGGGGGAAAUAGUUCCCCAGAUUUGGCCCUGAAUGGAGAUUAAAGCAAGUGAAUGUAAAUAAAGAACCUCCACCCUUAAGGCA
rnacentral:lncRNA from 1 species